UUGUCCUAGCACCAGCAAAUCUCUGCCUAUGCAGAUUGAUGGGGAACCAUGGAUGCAGACACCUUGUACAAUAAAAAUUACCCACAAGAAUCAAGUUCCUAUACUAAUGGGACCACCUCCAAAAACUGGCCUAUUCUCUUCCAUCAUUAAAAAAACAAGGAACCACAGCAAAGAAUAAGCUUCUGUAGUUAAAUGCGUACAAAAUCAAAUUAGCAAGUAUUUGGUAUGUGUAUUCUGGAAAUCUUUCAAGGGUUUUAAAAUGUUCUCUUUCUGCAUAAUCAUGGAAUCUGGAAAAACAGUUUCUGUGACUGAGCUAAUGUAAAAUGAUGCUAUUAGAAUAAUUUAUUGCCACAGUUUUGUAGGCAUUUUGCAUGAAGAAAGCUAAUGUUUACAUAAAGUGAUAAAGCAUAUUUUUGUUGCAUGCAUUACCAUUACUAAUUUAUAGGAUAAAUAUGAUGUGGAAUGGAAAAAUUCAACCCCAUUGAAAAUGUGAUUUUCACGGGACAUUGUCUCAACCUGCUUACUUCAAAUCAGUCCUUUUACUCUAGGCUUAUUCUAAACAAAGCACCACAAGGCUUGCACAGCUCUGGUUUGAUUCCUUUACUGCUUAAUGCCAAUGAAUAACUAACACUCCAUUCUGGUAUCCAAUGGCCUCUCUUACAGCUAACAGUCUUCUUAUCCAUGUGGAUCUGAUUUACCAUUUUAAGACCUGAAAUGUGAAAGAUUUCUUUUUGUUCUCCUAGGGUUCAGUCCAAUAGAAAUAAGGAAAUAAAAGGAAAUAAGCCUCACUGCACACAAGCAUGUUUAGUAACGGGCUGUUUAAAGUGGCCCAGUAGCAUUAAUGUAAAAGAAACAUGGAUAACACAAUUUGUAAAGCAGGACAUUAUUUCAAUUGUUAUCUAGCAAGAAACCCAGUUUGCCAAUGAGGGGGUCUUUAUCAGAGGCCCUUGGCCUAUCCUGUGGUUCCAGAAAUUUACAGUUGUUGCCAAACAUCUGUUUGCCACACUUAUAUUUUACAUGAUAGAUAUAUCUUUGAUAUACAUUUAAAGCAAGGAAAAUGUGAAAACUAGGCAAUAGGGAUUUGGAUGCUGCCAUCAUUUUCACUUGAACUUGCCCAACUCUCCACUUUAUUACAGCCCCUGACCUUCAUGGUUUCUGUCCAUGCAGGCCUCAUGGCCUUUAACACAGGAUUUUUAGUGGUCAAAGAGAAAUAUAUCCUCCCAUUUCAGCAAUGGUAAAAUUGGUUGGAUCAAACCCAGUGAUGUUUUAUUUCCUGUAAGGUACUGAACAGUAAAACCUUUAAACUUCAUAAUGUAGUAAGUGUGCAAAUAAGACUUGUGUGCAAAUAAGACUUGUGGCCAAACAAACCAUUUUAUUUGCCAACAAUUCAGCAAUAAAUCAAUGGAUAAGUAAUUACACAUUCUGAAUCAGACACCGAAAAGUGUUAAACAAAUUCUGUGAAGUAAGAGCAAGGAGAAAUUAAUGACUUGCAAUGAGUAUUCUUUUAUUUCACAUGCUUAUAAUUACUCUCAAACCAGCUGUGAUAUAAAGAUAUAUGUUGGUACAUGUUGAAGGUUCAAAUCUAUGUUACAGGAUAUUCUACUACCAAAAGGGGAAAUACAAUUGAGCAUUUCAUUCCUAAUCUUCAGAUGUACCUCAGAGUUUCUGCAUGUGCAAUGGAAACACUGGCACAAAUCAAUUAAAAUGUUUGCAGAAAUGUUUCAGUUCCCGCCCCCCACCCCCUUUACAAUAGUGUUAGUUCAAACUCAACUCAAAAGGUUAUGGUGGGUUUUCCGGGCUGUGUGGCCGUGGUCUGGACAGCCCGGAAAACCCACCACAACCAGUUGAAUCCAACUGUGAAACCCUUCGACAACAGAUUUAACUCAAAAGAGUUCACAGCUGGUGGUUUUUGGGUUUUUAUUUAUUUUGCUUGCUUGCUCAUUGAAGCAAUGUUGGUAUGGUAUAUCACUUCAUUGCUUUGUUGAUCAAAAAGUGAAACGUUAAAAAAAGCUAGUGAAAAUGAGGUGCUAAGAAAAUGAGACACUAAGAAAAUGAGAUGCUAAGAAAUGGCAUCCCAGGCUUCAAGGGAGAAGCUGUAAACAAAGAAGAAAUUUGGCAUGGGGGAGAAGGAAGCUGAACACUGACACAGGGGCAAAGUAAAUGAUCCAGUUUUUUUCGGAGGAAAUUUAAAAUGUUUCAAGAUGAUCUCACUGCAAGGGAAGCCAGCUUGGAAACAUUUCAGGGAAAUAAAGUGUUGUAAAUUGUUGUACACUGUCCUGAGCCUUUCGGGGGAGGGUGGUAUAUAAAUUAAAUAUACGAUACAAAAUAUACGAUACGAUAAAGAGGGUUUGAGAAACAAUGAAUUGAAAGGUUAAAAAUGUUUCAGGAAUGAAUGUGAGAAAAUGAAGUUCAGAACUCUCCUGAGGAAAUGAUGUGUUAAUGUGCCAGAAACAUUUUAAAUGACUUGUGCAGAAAAGACCACUCGGUAUGAAGGACUCAGCACCACCCACUUACCAUCAUUAUAUUUUGUUGCUAAUAAUUUAAUGUAUAAAUAUAAAUCAUCUUAUCAUGUUGCUUCCUUUAUGUUUGCUGUUUAAAAGAUCUAAACAUUUCUGCUGAUGAUUUUGUGCUCAAUGGUUUUACUUCUCUUUCAUGCUCCCUUGAAAAAUGUAUUAACAGCUUGGAAAUGGUAACACAACUUGCUUUGUUUGAGUGAUGUGCAAUUGUCGAUCAGUUUUAGGAUUCAAGUCAGGUUGGCCAACCAUUUCAAAGUUGUUUAUAAAUCUAUGUACAUAAACCUCAUAAAAUGUUGUGGGGGUUUUGAUUUUUUUUGCUGGGGAAAAAGCAUUGGGGGAUUUAGUAAGGUGUGGCUUGCAUUGCAUCCUUGCAUGGUUAAUUUCUAGCGUUCCAU